UACGAAGGGGACUAGCGUUGUUCGGAAUUACUGGGCGUAAAGCGCACGUAGGCGGAUUGCUAAGUCAGGGGUGAAAUCCCGGGGCUCAACCUCGGAACUGCCUUUGAUACUGACAAUCUCGAGUCCGAUAGAGGUGGGUGGAAUUCCUAGUGUAGAGGUGAAAUUCGUAGAUAUUAGGAAGAACACCAGCGGCGAAGGCGGCAUCCUGGACUGGUCCUGACACUCAGGAGCGAAAGCGUGGGGAGCGAUCCGG
rnacentral:rRNA from 1 species